rnacentral:rRNA from 1 species
GAUGAAUGCUGGCGGCGUGCCUAACACAUGCAAGUCGAGCGGCAGCGAGUUUUACACUGAAUUCUGGAAGCUUCUGAGUAGUACAGAAGAUUUAUUCAAGAGUUUUGUGUAAAAUGUCGGCGAGCGGCGGACGGCUGAGUAACGCGUAGGAAUUUGCCCCAAAGUGAGGAAUAACUGCCCGAAAGGGUAGCUAAUGCCGCAUAUGGUCUUCGGAUUAAAGCCUUCGGGCGCUUUGGGAGAAGCCUGCGUUGGAUUAGGUAGUUGGUAGGGUAAUGGCCUACCAAGCCGACGAUCCAUAGCUGGUCUGAGAGGAUGAUCAGCCAGACUGGAACUGAGACACGGUCCCGACUCCUACGGGAGGCAGCAGUGAGGAAUCUUCCACAAUGGGCGAAAGCCUGAUGGAGCAACGCCGCGUGAAGGAUGAAGGCCUUCGGGUUGUAAACUUCUUUUAUGAGUGAAGAAUAUGACGGUAACUCAUGAAUAAGCACCGGCUAACUACGUG